UACGUAGGGGGCAAGCGUUGUCCGGAAUCAUUGGGCGUAAAGCGCUCGUAGGCGGCCCCGUAAGUCCGCUGUGAAAGUCAAAGGCUCAACCUUUGAAAGCCGGUGGAUACUGUGGGGCUAGAGUCCGGAAGAGGAGAGUGGAAUUCCUGGUGUAGCGGUGGAAUGCGCAGAUAUCAGGAGGAACACCAAUAGCGAAGGCAGCUCGCUGGGACGGUACUGACGCUAAGGCGCGAAAGCGUGGGGAGCGAACAGG
rnacentral:rRNA from 1 species